UGCGCUCGCAGCUUGAUUUGCAUGAGCUUCUACGCUUAGCCGCUUCGCCGCUUCUUCAAAAGUCUGCAUCCUUUCUUUUCACGCAAACUCCACUCGCAACCCGAGUCAGGAUGUGGUCUCACGCGCUCGCCCUCGCCCUUUGGGCUCUCCUGAUUCCAGGAUCUUCCGCCGAGGAUUUUCCGAGGCAGACGGACAGAGUCAAGGCCGUUUCUCUUGGGGGCACGGUGACCAUCACCGCCACGGCGAAUUCAAACACUAGAUAUGAUCUCAGUUGGUACCAAGUGAAACCUGGACAGGCUCCCAAACUCCUCAUCUACGCCGCAACCGCUCGCUUCUCCGGCACGCCAUCUCGAUUCAGCGCCACACAAUCCGGUUCCGACUACACUCUGACCAUCAGGGGUGUCCAGGCGGAAGACGUGGCUGAUUAUUACGCUUUUGCCUGGUACAGCAGCGGCUGGUAGACACGGUGAUUCAGACGAGUGCAAAAACCUCCUUCGACUUUGAGCGAAGUGAAAGUGGCAAGAAGAAGACAUUCUGAAUGAUGAGC